AAACCAUGAUGAGGAUAUGUUCUUAAGAGAUCCUUGAAUGUUUCGUGUGUCUCAAAGGGUUACUCGGAAUCCUCCUGCCUAAAGGCCUAAAUCUCUUACCUCAGUCU